rnacentral:misc_RNA from 1 species
GGAUUGCGAAUUACUGAGCUGAGGUUUGUUAGGUUUCCUUUUGUGUAUUUAAUUUCAUGCUGCUUUCUCUUGUUUGGUUGCCCAGAAAGUACAGGAAAGGCUAGGAAAUUGAAUAGUGUAUUAGUGCUUUAUUUACUAAUUAUUCUCUUUUUUGGAGAGUUUUAUUUUUUAAAUGUUAAAGUUAGAUCCUGUGUUUUAGCUGGGUUGAAUUUUGUGGAUUUUUUAUUCUGAGUUUGCUUACUGUUGAAUUAGGGUUUGCUA